AUUGAACGCUGGCGGCAUGCUUUACACAUGCAAGUCGAACGGCAGCGCGGGCUUCGGCCUGGCGGCGAGUGGCGAACGGGUGAGUAAUGCAUCGGAACGUGCCCAGUAGUGGGGGAUAGCCCGGCGAAAGCCGGAUUAAUACCGCAUACGACCUGAGGGUGAAAGCGGGGGACCGAAAGGCCUCGCGCUAUUGGAGCGGCCGAUGCCGGAUUAGCUAGUUGGUGGGGUAAAGGCCUACCAAGGCGACGAUCCGUAACUGGUCUGAGAGGAUGAUCAGUCACACUGGAACUGAGACACGGUCCAGACUCCUACGGGAGGCAGCAGUGGGGAAUAUUGGACAAUGGGCGAAAGCCUGAUCCAGCCAUGCCGCGUGUGUGAAGAAGGUCUUCGGAUUGUAAAGCACUUUAAGUUGGGAGGAAGGGCAGUAAGUUAAUACCUUGCUGUUUUGACGUUACCAACAGAAUAAGCACCGGCUAACUUCGUG
rnacentral:rRNA from 1 species